CAAAAUCUCAAUCAUCAAGAAGAUAAGAAAACAGAGAAAAAAAAUCUUUCAAUAGAGAAAGAGGAUGGGACAGGAGGAGGAUACAUCAACAGUGUCUGGUGGAAGAGACGAAGAAGAAGAGGCAUGGAUUCUCAGGAAGCAAACCCUAAUCCUCCAAGUUUCAGAGAGUCUUAUCAACGGAGAUCUCCAAACCCAAAUUCAAGCUGCCAGAGAUAUCAGAAAGCUCGUCAGAAAAUCUUCCGCUAAGACUCGCUCCAAAUUCGCCGCCGCAGGUGUCAUUCAGCCCCUCGUUUUCAUGCUUCUCUCUUCUAACCUCGACGCCCGCCAGGCCUCUCUUCUUGCUCUCCUCAAUCUCGCUGUCAGAAAUGAACGAAACAAGGUCCAGAUAGUAACAGCUGGUGCCAUUCCCCCACUUGUGGAACUUCUUAAGUUCCAAAAUGAUAGUUUAAGGGAAUUAGCCGCUGCUGCAAUUUUAACACUCUCAGCUGCUGAACCUAAUAAGCCAAUCAUUGCAGCUUCAGGAGCUGCGCCUCUUCUGGUUCAGAUUCUGAACUCUGGGAGUGUACAAGGAAAAGUUGAUGCUGUGACAGCACUACACAACCUCUCAUCCUGCCCCAAGAAUUCUCAUCCAAUUGUGGAUGCUAAAGCAGUUGCACCUCUCAUUAAACUUCUCAAAGAAUGCAAGAAAUAUUCAAAAUUUGCUGAGAAAGCAACAGCUUUACUUGAAGUCAUUUCCAACUCUGAAGAAGGGCGAACUGCAAUCGCUGGCACAGAUGGUGGGAUUUUAACUCUAGUAGAGACAGUUGAAGAUGGAUCACUUGUUAGCAUGGAACAUGCAGUCAGGGCCUUGCUCUCUUUGUGCCAGAGCAACCGAGAUAAGUACAGGGAACUCAUUCUUAAAGAAGGCGCAAUUCCAGGGCUUCUGCGACUAACUGUAGAGGGAACAUCUGAAGCUCAAGAAAGAGCUCGAAUGCUCUUAGACCUGCUCAGAGAUACCCCUCAGGAAAAUAAAUUAGCAUCCUCAGUAUUGAAGAGAAUUGUUUAUGACAUUGCUGCUCGAGUUGAUGGCUCUGAUAAAGCAGCUGAAACGGCCAAGAGGCUGCUGCAGGACAUGGUUCAAAGAAGUAUGGAGCAUAGCAUGGACCGAAUCCAGCGUAAUGCUGCAUCUUGUACGCCUUCUGAGAUUUCAUCCACACGGCGUAUCCUGUUGACUUGAGGAGAACAUUUUCGAGUAACGUGGGUUAGAGUUUUAAUGUUUGGCCAGUUAAAACUAUUGUACCCAUUUCAUUGUAAUCAAACAAAGAUGAAUGAACAUACUAAUGUACUGAAGUAGAUUUCACUGGAGUCUACUUUCUUGAGGUGAUAUCUUAAUUGCGACCCUCAACAGUGUGCUGUACAUCCCUCCUGUAUAUAUGAGAAGUCUUUUUACUAGCAACAUUACAAGUACUUUUUUUUCCUCAUCUAACUAGCUUUCCG
rnacentral:misc_RNA from 1 species